UAUUGUAAUUGGAUUGUAUUUUAAAUAGUAAUGCAUUCCAGCAGUCUACAACAGGACAUCUACAUAAAUUAUGGAUAUCCUCGGGGAGGUGGGGGGGGAUACGAAUGGUCUUGUGCUUGUUAAUUGAAUGUCUGUGGCAGUCUUGGUAGUCAGGUGGGUCCACAGUAAUAUAUAUGUAUAAUAAUAAUCCUUACAUUUGAUAUAGCACUUUUCACAUCUUCUAGAUAACUCAAAGCGCUUCACAGAAUAUACUGUAAAGUGAAUUGACUGCAUAUUUGUGGGCGAAACGCGGCAGCCAGUCGCGCAUAGCAGUGUCCCACAAACAAUCGUGGAUUGAAGUGAUCAAUUUUAUUAUUGUUUUUUUUCUUGAGGGAUUAUUAUCAGGCGUGUGGAGUAAGGAAAUUUGCCCAAGGUUUCACCCUGGCAACAAUCAAACCCAGGUCUCUCGAUUGUGAGGUGGAGUCAUUGGGCUGCUUCACCAAUUGAUUCCUAUUUGUUGUUGAUCAGGGCUUCCUCAAGAUCACUCUUCCAUAUUGUUACCACUGUAUUUGUGUUUCCUGACCUCAUGGAAAUAAAGAUUUACUAUCCUCA